AAGGGCUUCCGUUCAACAAAAAUGCGCAAUUCACAGCGCAAUUCACAGCGCGAUUCACGUGUUGAUCGUCAGCCACAUUGUUCGCAAACACUAAUGUCUGCCCAGCAGCCUGCAAGCAGCCUAACCGAGGCAGCAGCGUUACUUCACACUGUACUUGCGUCAGCGGAGACCAUCAGAACCGUUGCAACUUCAAGCCGCGACACACUGGACAGUCACAUAGCGUCACUUUCCCCCUCCGGACAGCACAGCAGCAUGACACUGCCAACUGCAGCUCCAGUGUGAGCAACGCUUCAGCUCUUGGACAUCAGCCACGAGGUGGAAAAGGACUGGGACCACCAGACUGUUUUAGAACGCAUCAGGGAUGGCUUUGGUGAGCACAUUCCAGACGAUGUCAGCUAUAAGAGAGGACUGGUAAUACAUUGCUGGCAAAGCCAUUGCUGUGAGCUUGGUACAUGGCGGUCCACCACCAAACUUCCUCUCUCAGACAUAGCUGACACAGAACUCUUGGAAAAAGUCAAAAAGAUUCUGUGAAGGACUGAAAACUCUUUGGGUUCAGGACCAAAUACGACGACAUCCAGACAGCUUUCGACCCCUGUUCUGCUAUGAGCUGUGGAUGAUCUUUUCAGCAUUCGUCU